CAGCUACAAAAAUCACUUAGCAGAUGGUCUCUUGAAAAGGAGCAGAGUCCAAUCCCACCUUGAGAAGUCAUGAAGCUGGUGAUCUUUGCAAAUGAAAUCUGAAGCCCCAUUAUCUUUCAUCUUACAACAACAGAAGAAAUCACUCCUCUUGGGGGUAGCGGGGGGACAUGAAAUCAGGGAUAACAUUAGAAAAGUGGCUUAUGCAUGGACCUUGACAGGUGGGGCAAGAUUUUCGCAGACAGAAAGGGAGGACAAUACAUGAAAUCCAAAAAAGGGUGAUGGGACCGGGUGCAGUGGCUCACGCCUGUAAUCCCAACACUUUGGGAGGCUGAGGCGGGCAGAUCACCUGAGGUCACGAGUUCGAGACCAGCCUGGCCAACAUGGCGAAAUCCCAUCUCUACUGAAAAUACAAAAAUUAGCCGGAUGUGGUGGCAGGUGCCCAUAAUCCCACCUACUCGGGAGGCUGAGGCAGAGAGAAUUGCUUGAACCCGGGAGGUGGGGUUGCAGUGAGCCGAGAUUGCGCCACUGCACUCCAGCCUGGGUGACAGAGUGAGACUCCAUCACACACACACACACACACACACAAAGAGAGAGAGAGAGAAAGAAAAGAAAAAAAAAGAAAAAGAAAAAACGGGUGAUGGAGGCAUGUUUGAAUUCAGUGCUGGAACCAAUCCUGGGAGGUUGCUGAGUUCCCUUGUUGUUGGCUUUCCUGGACUUCCCACAGUUUCUGCAACCUCAACUGGCUUCCCAAAAUCCCAAGGGCAAACCUUGAAUCCAUCACACUGUGCCCAGCCCACAGGUAUCUGAUCCCAGAGCUCACAUCAUUCUCUUGCAUUCCAGCUCUGAUGUCUCUUCAUGUGCCCUCCUAAUAGUAAAGAACAACUCCCAUCUUCCUGUAAAGGUGAGAGGAGUGAAGCAUGGAAGGCUUCCUGGAGGAGAGUGCAAUUUUGCUUGGCCUGGAUAAACUGGGGGAGCCAAAUUUCCAAAAUCAGAAAUAACAAGAAACAGAGACUAUGGACCUCUGGUGGGAAAGUCCAGGACUGGUCAGCCUCUGAGCCUGUAACAUGGAGAGAGUGGAAUCAGAACAAACUGUCCGGAACAACCAGACAAGUAAGGGCAACCUUAUCUUGUA
rnacentral:lncRNA from 1 species